rnacentral:rRNA from 1 species
CAGUCGCCACGGUAAUACGUAGGUGGCAAGCGUUGUCCGGAAUUAUUGGGCGUAAAGGGCUCGCAGGCGGUUUCUUAAGUCUGAUGUGAAAGCCCCCGGCUCAACCGGGGAGGGUCAUUGGAAACUGGGAAGCUUGAGUGCAGAAGAGGAGAGUGGAAUUCCACGUGUAGCGGUGAAAUGCGUAGAGAUGUGGAGGAACACCAGUGGCGAAGGCGACUCUCUGGUCUGUAACUGACGCUGAGGAGCGAAAGCGUGGGGAGCGAACAGGAUUAGAGACCCCGGUAGUCCCUGUCUCUUAUAC